UACAGAGGUCUCAAGCGUUAAUCGGAAUUACUGGGCGUAAAGCGUGCGCAGGCGGCUUUGCAAGACAGAUGUGAAAUCCCCGGGCUUAACCUGGGAACUGCAUUUGUGACUGCAUGGCUGGAGUGCGGCAGAGGGGGAUGGAAUUCCGCGUGUAGCAGUGAAAUGCGUAGAUAUGCGGAGGAACACCGAUGGCGAAGGCAAUCCCCUGGGCCUGCACUGACGCUCAUGCACGAAAGCGUGGGGAGCAAACAGG
rnacentral:rRNA from 1 species